rnacentral:rRNA from 1 species
GCCGAACCGAGCGAACGUUGUUCGGAAUCACUGGGCUUACAGGGUGCGUAGGCGGCUAUUCAGGUCAGGUGUGAAAGCCCUCGGCUCAACCGAGGAACUGCGCUUGAAACCGGAUGGCUCGAGUCAACUAGAGGUGCACGGAACUUCCAGUGGAGCGGUGAAAUGUGUUGAUAUGCCAUAGAACACCUAUUGCGAAGGCAGCUGGCUAGACCUGUAUUGACGCUGAGGCACGAAAGCGUGGGGAGCGAACAGG